GAUGAACGCUGGCGGCGUGCCUAAUACAUGCAAGUCGAGCGAACAGACGAGGAGCUUGCUCCUCUGACGUGAGCGGCGGACGGGUGAGUAACACGUGGAUAACCUACCUAUAAGACUGGGAUAACUUCGGGAAACCGGAGCUAAUACCGGAUAAUAUAUUGAACCGCAUGGUUCAAUAGUGAAAGACGGUUUUGCUGUCACUUAUAGAUGGAUCCGCGCCGCAUUAGCUAGUUGGUAAGGUAACGGCUUACCAAGGCAACGAUGCGUAGCCGACCUGAGAGGGUGAUCGGCCACACUGGAACUGAGACACGGUCCAGACUCCUACGGGAGGCAGCAGUAGGGAAUCUUCCGCAAUGGGCGAAAGCCUGACGGAGCAACGCCGCGUGAGUGAUGAAGGUCUUCGGAUCGUAAAACUCUGUUAUUAGGGAAGAACAAAUGUGUAAGUAACUAUGCACGUCUUGACGGUACCUAAUCAGAAAGCCACGGCUAACUACGU
rnacentral:rRNA from 1 species